CCUACGGGAGGCAGCAGUGGGGAAUAUUGGACAAUUGGGGCAACCCUGAUCCAGCCAUGCCGCGUGUGUGAAGAAGGCCCUCGGGUUGUAAAGCACUUUCAGUGAGGAAGAACGCCUGGUGGUUAAUACCCAUCAGGAAAGACAUCACUCACAGAAGAAGCACCGGCUAACUCCGUGCCAGCAGCCGCGGUAAUACGGAGGGUGCGAGCGUUAAUCGGAAUUACUGGGCGUAAAGCGCGCGUAGGUGGCUUGAUAAGCCGGUUGUGAAAGCCCCGGGCUCAACCUGGGAACGGCAUCCGGAACUGUCAAGCUAGAGUGCAGGAGAGGAAGGUAGAAUUCCCGGUGUAGCGGUGAAAUGCGUAGAGAUCGGGAGGAAUACCAGUGGCGAAGGCGGCCUUCUGGACUGACACUGACACUGAGGUGCGAAAGCGUGGGUAGCAAACAGGAUUAGAUACCCCAGUAGUC
rnacentral:rRNA from 1 species